UGGGGAAUCUUGCGCAAUGGGCGAAAGCCUGACGCAGCGACGCCGCGUGAGCGAAGAAGGCCUUCGGGUCGUAAAGCUCAGUCAUUGGGGAUGAGAUGACAGUACCCAAGGAGGAAGCCCCGGCUAACUACGUGCCAGCAGCCGCGGUAAUACGUAGGGGGCGAGCGUUGUCCGGAAUUACUGGGUGUAAAGGGCGUGUAGGCGGGGGUGCAAGUUACCGGUAAAAACCCAGGGCUCAACUCUGGGCUUGCCGGUAAAACUGCAUCUCUUGAGUGUAGGAGAGGGAAGUGGAAUUCCCGGAGUAGCGGUGAAAUGCGUAGAUACCGGGAGGAACACCAGUGGCGAAGGCGGCUUCCUGGCCUACAACUGACGCUGAGGCGCGAAAGCUAGGGUAGCGAACGGG
rnacentral:rRNA from 1 species